UAAUACAUGCAAGUCGAGCGGACAGAUGGGAGCUUGCUCCCUGAUGUUAGCGGCGGACGGGUGAGUAACACGUGGGUAACCUGCCUGUAAGACUGGGAUAACUCCGGGAAACCGGGGCUAAUACCGGAUGCUUGUUUGAACCGCAUGGUUCAAACAUAAAAGGUGGCUUCGGCUACCACUUACAGAUGGACCCGCGGCGCAUUAGCUAGUUGGUGAGGUAAUGGCUCACCAAGGCAACGAUGCGUAGCCGACCUGAGAGGGUGAUCGGCCACACUGGGACUGAGACACGGCCCAGACUCCUACGGGAGGCAGCAGUAGGGAAUCUUCCGCAAUGGACGAAAGUCUGACGGAGCAACGCCGCGUGAGUGAUGAAGGUUUUCGGAUCGUAAAGCUCUGUUGUUAGGGAAGAACAAGUACCGUUCGAAUAGGGCGGUACCUUGACGGUACCUAACCAGAAAGCCACGGCUAACUACGUGCCAGCAGCCGCGGUAAUACGUAGGUGGCAAGCGUUGUCCGGAAUUAUUGGGCGUAAAGGGCUCGCAGGCGGUUUCUUAAGUCUGAUGUGAAAGCCCCCGGCUCAACCGGGGAGGGUCAUUGGAAACUGGGGAACUUGAGUGCAGAAGAGGAGAGUGGAAUUCCACGUGUAGCGGUGAAAUGCGUAGAGAUGUGGAGGAACACCAGUGGCGAAGGCGACUCUCUGGUCUGUAACUGACGCUGAGGAGCGAAAGCGUGGGGAGCGAACAGGAUUAGAUACCCUGGUAGUCCACGCCGUAAACGAUGAGUGCUAAGUGUUAGGGGGUUUCCGCCCCUUAGUGCUGCAGCUAACGCAUUAAGCACUCC
rnacentral:rRNA from 1 species